rnacentral:ncRNA from 2 species
UGGGCUAGGAAAAAUGAUUGGAUAAAAAAUAUUAUUCUAUUCAUUUAUCUCCCAGCCUACA